ensembl:snRNA U6 U6 spliceosomal RNA
UUGCUCGCUUCGGCAGCACAUAUACUAAAAUUGGGACAAUACGGAGAUUAGCAUGGCCCCUGUGCAAAGAUGACAUGCAAAUUCGAGAAGCGUUCUGUAUUUAA